AUGAAGCUGGAGCCCAAGAAAUUUAAGUCAUUUACCCCAGGAUCAGCAGGGUGUGAGAAGAAUGAUGCCACUCAGGAGGUGACCCAAAGGGAGGUGGCAGCCUGGAGAAUCCUGCAGGGGUGUGAGAAGAAUGAUGCCACUCAAGAGGUGACCCAAAGGGAGGUGGCAGCCUGGAGAAUCCUGCAGGGUGAGCAAACAGAGCCAGAAGGACUCCAUCUGCCUCUGUUUUGGGUCACAGUCAUGGAGUGGCAGAGCGAUCAUUUGAACUUCAUGUUCAAAUGGUUUAUGGACUCCUAA
rnacentral:lncRNA from 1 species